CCUUCGAUAGAUCAGUUGGUAGAGCGGAGAACUGUAGAUCCUUAGGUCGCUGGUUCGAAUCCGGCUCGAAGGA
rnacentral:tRNA from 1 species